UUGUUAUCUCCCAGGAAAUUU
rnacentral:piRNA from 1 species